GACGAACGCUGGCGGCGUGCUUAACACAUGCAAGUCGAACGGAAAGGCCCUGCUUUUGUGGGGUGCUCGAGUGGCGAACGGGUGUGUAACACGUGAGUAACCUGCCCUUGACUUUGGGAUAACUUCAGGAAACUGGGGCUAAUACCGGAUAGGAGCUCCUGCUGCAUGGUGGGGGUUGGAAAGUUUCGGCGGUUGGGGAUGGACUCGCGGCUUAUCAGCUUGUUGGUGGGGUAGUGGCUUACCAAGGCUUUGACGGGUAGCCGGCCUGAGAGGGUGACCGGCCACAUUGGGCCUGAGAUACGGCCCAGACUCCUACGGGAGGCAGCGGUCGGGAAUAUUGCACAGUAGGCGGAAGCCUGAUGCAGCAACGCCGCGUGCGGGAUGACGGCCUUCGGGUUGUAAACCGCUUUCGCCUGAGACGAAGCGUGAGUGACGGUAAUGGGUAAAGAAGCACCGGCUAACUACGUG
rnacentral:rRNA from 1 species